rnacentral:rRNA from 1 species
UACGUAGGGGCCUAGCGUUGUCCGGAUUUAUUGGGCGUAAAGAGCUCGUAGGCGGUUCGGCAAGUCGGAUGUGAAAUCUCCACGCUCAACGUGGAGGGGCCAUUCGAAACUGCCGUGACUCGAGUCCGGUAGGGGAGUGUGGAAUUCCCGGUGUAGCGGUGAAAUGCGCAGAUAUCGGGAGGAACACCGGUGGCGAAGGCGGCGUUCUGGACUGUAACUGACACUGAGGAACGAAAGCCAGGGGAGCAAACGGG